GUUUGGUCCAAGUUCUCCUCAUUUUGAAUUAUUGUUCCUCCUCAUCCGAGCCCUUUUUAUCUGACUCAAAAUCUUUUUAUGUAAUAAUUGUUGUACCCAAGUUCAGGCUGUCAAGCUUUGAGCAGACUUCUCUUGAAAAUAUAGUUAGAUGGACAUUAGAGCUCUCUGUUCAAUAUAGUUACCUUUCUCUAGCCCUCGCAUUGUUUCGUUCUUGUUUUCUCUGUGGAUUGAAGCUCUCCAAUGGUGAGAUUAUAUUAAUUCCCAUGAGUUUGAAUAUUAUAUCAUAUCAUUGCUGGAUUUGUUUCGUUUUAGCUUGUUGUUUAUUGAAAUUUUAUUAAAAG
rnacentral:misc_RNA from 1 species